UUAAAAAUUUCUCUCAGGGGUUGCUACUGCAGGCCUGCUGCUUGCUGAUCUUCAGACAGCAUAUCAGUCAGUGUUUUUCCACCUCCAAAAGCAGAGAUGUCUGAGUGAUAAGUGCAUUCAUAACCACAGGGAGGUCCUCCUGAGAGCUGCAAAAACACAUUAGUGGUCUGAACAUCCCAGUGGCAAUACUUCAAUUAUAUCAGUGUUUUAUCAGUCCCAUUAGGCUGACCUGCAGCUCUAGUUGCCUUAAAAGCUUAUGAAAAUGUGGAUGUGGGAGGCAUGAUUAAGAGCCUGUGUGCACCAAACAGUGGGACAUGGUCCAGGGAGCUGAGCUGCACAGGCCUGCAGCACUAGCUUGGAUCCCAAAGGCAGCAUGGGUGCAUUGCAUGGCUGGGCACUCUUGGGACACAAAGGAUCACUGUAAGACUGCCAACGCUUGGUAGAGAACCCUGGAGCAAUCGGUGACCUUCUUCCCACAGGCAGUAUGAUCUCCUUGAGUCUUCAGCGGCUGGUGGAACAGGGAAUACAACUGCCCUUCCCGGGGGACACGAAUGGGGCAAAGAUGUAAUGUGACAUAUAUGGCCUCAGUUCUGUUGUAAAGUAUGGCAGCAAAGCCAACCUGAGCUUGUAUUAACACAGUACAGCAGCCUGACAGGAGAAAGUGGAAAUAAUCCUACAAAAUAGGAAUACUGCAUCUGUUCGCACCCAAAUCUGUGACCAGCCUAUAAAAUAUGAUUCUUGCAAUACUGCUUAGAAAUCUGAACAACAUCUAGAGCAGGAUGCGCUAACAGUGUCAUGAUUAAUAGCUUGCCAGCCUAGUCUUUGGAGAACAAUGCAUUUGUGCACCCAGGAAGGAAAAUCUUUGGAAAAUGCUGUUCUGUCACAAAUUGUUCAUGCUUUAAUUAAGAAGUCCUCAUCAGGGAAGACGAUAACCAUGAGAUAUGUGAGGGGAGGAACACACUUGAUCUAUAAUGAAAUCAACUCUCAAAUGAGGUCGCCACCCAUGUACUACUAUGCACAUACAACAGGAAGAUGAGCCAAAUGUGGUGAGAUGAGGCCAAGCUUUUGUAGCUCUGCAAAUGAAUAGGUUGUCCUUUGGGUGGGAAGGGGAACUGAAAGGGGAGGCAGUGUAAUUAUGUGUUGGAAAAAUGAGGGCAAAUGUGUCCUGUGCCCUUCUCAUAGCUCCUUCUAAAGCAUACUUUCCUUAUGCUACCACCUCAUGAAAAAGAACUCUGGGACAGACUGCCAGGCACACAUGGACAAGAACAGCAUCCUUGUCAUUGCUUACUCCAUUAAACUAGAGAUGGAGAUUUAGAUACAGAAAAACAAGCCUGCCCUGAACAUCCUCAUUCUUGAAAUCUAAAUGACUCAAGAUGCUCUGCUGCUGAUUAGAACAUUAGUUCAGUUGUCAGUAAAACUGUUGGGGAAUUGCACUAGGAAAAGAGUAAUUAGAGCACCAGGCUAUGACUCAGAAGACCUGGUUUCAGCUCCUAACACAGCCACAGGGUUCUGUGUGACCUGCAGAGUCACCUAGGGCCAGAGCAAGAACAUGGGGCAGAUGCCCAAAGUGCACUUGGGAGUUUCUUUCACUUCAGGUGCUGGUGGGAAGAAUAACCAAGAGUUUUACAUGUGAAACUAAGGUAGCUGCUGAGAGUUAUCAGCACCUGAGGAUCAGCUGCAGAGCCAAGAUCUGAUGAGCACAGGCCUGGACCCAUUUCCAGCAGAUAGCUUAUUCCACCUAUCGUUAGACUCCACCUUACCAUGAUGCCUUGGUAAGUAGUUUACAUAUAAUGGUGGCUGAUGUGAUGAAACCUAUAUAUGGCUCAAGUGGUGCUUCUGCAGCAGCAUCCUAUUGACCACAAGUGAUGUGGGAACUGACCAAAGCCCCUUCCAACUCCUAGUGUUAAACGAGUUUAUGAAUUAAGCCCAUUGCAGAGGGGCAUUGCUCCUACAGGUCUUGCUGACAGUUCAAUCUGAGAGAUUUUCUCAUGACCCUGAGUAAGGAAUGGCUUUAUCCAAAUCCCUCUGAGAAACAAGAGUGCUACAGGCAAUGUUUUAAAUAUUUAAUGUUUACACAACACUCAGAAUACCAAUGGCAAUUCAAAGAGAAGGGAACUCCUGUCUUCCCUGCGCUCCUUGGGGAGUUUCCUCUUCAUGUGCAUUUUUCAGCAUGACUGAUAUCUGCCUACAUGAGCAGCAAACAGCUGCCCGUGGCGUGUCCCACGCGCUCGGAAAAACAGCGGUGUGCCACGCAGGACCUCGCCACCAGUGUGCGAGCACCUCGUCAUCGCGGCCACGAGAAGGCUAGAGGACGUGCCCAAGGGCACAGGUGGACGUGGACCAAGCCUGCUGCUCAUUGCCACUCCCUGUGCCGUUUUCCUCCCUCAACACAAAGCUGCAGGCGGGCACCCAGCUCUCCGCAAGACGGGCUGAAGCGGCGAAUCCCCAAACUCGGUCCGCGCGCAACUCUCCGAGUAAACGGCGCACCUCAGAGGAAGAUGGCGGCGGGCAGCGCCCGCGGCGGGAAGGAGCCCGCCUGGCUCUGAGGAACGGCCGCGACCGUUGGGCGAGGCCGCCACCUAGCGAGCGGCGGCGGACGGACCCGCGGCCCGGGCAGCGGGCGGCGGAAGGAGGAGCGAGCCGUGCGCCCGAGCCGCUCCCGGCUGCUCUGGGAUUCCGGCCGGGAGUGUGCGGUGCUCUAUCCACCGGCACCAGUCACGAGGGAAUGUCGAGAGCCCCUCAGCAGAGGAUGUGCCGCUGUUUCCACGGAGGGCUCAGCACCGUGCCGUGGUUGGGCUCUGAGGGGCUCACAGGCCCCUUUUCCUCCAUGAUGGACCUACCCAAAGAAUAUCCAGAAAUGGCCGCCUCAGCUCUUGUUCCCAAAGGGAAUUCAAGGAGUGACUAUGUUAACUUGUUUUGUUCCCCCCCCCACAAUUUCUGUUAAAAUCAUCAGUGUUUAUGAAUGCA